AUUGAACGCUGGCGGCAUGCUUUACACAUGCAAGUCGAACGGCAGCGGGGGCUUCGGCCUGCCGGCGAGUGGCGAACGGGUGAGUAGUGCAUCGGAACGUGCCCAGUCAUGGGGGAUAACUACGCGAAAGCGUAGCUAAUACCGCAUAAUACUGGAGAUCUGCAUGGAUAUUCAGUUAAACAUUUAUGGCUUACAGAUGGGCAUGCGCAUGAUUAGAUAGUUGGAGAGGUAACGGCUCCCCAAGUCAAUGAUCAUUAGGGGUUCUGAGAGGAAGGUCCCCCACACUGGUACUGAGACACGGACCAGACUCCUACGGGAGGCAGCAGUGAGGAAUAUUGGUCAAUGGGCGAGAGCCUGAACCAGCCAAGUCGCGUGCAGGAAGAAUGUCCUAUGGAUUGUAAACUGCUUUUGCAGGGGAAUAAAGUGAGCCACGUGUGGUUUUUUGUAUGUACUCUGCGAA
rnacentral:rRNA from 1 species